GCUGGGCUUGGUAGCGCGAGCUUGUAACCUAAGUGGGAGCAUUAAGAUGGUGGAAUAAUUGGGCUUACCUUGAAGGCUGGGCUUGUGGUGCUAUCCACUGGCCUGCCCGUUCCAAGUGGUGAGUCCGGCCGUGGAGUCUCUGCGAAGGCGGAGGCCUCUCGACCAUUAGAUCGGAGGGCACCGCGUCAGGCUGGUUUCACAGAGCAGCGAACACCUCCUCCUCUCUGCAGUGGAAGGAUAACAGGCCGGAGCAUCUUCAGUCCACUAGAGCUGAUGGGUUGUCCAAAAUUAAACCACCAUCUUU
rnacentral:SRP_RNA from 1 species